UGCUUAUAUUGCUUGUUCGAGAAGACUAAUACACUAAACUGAGACGAUUUACAGUGAUUCAAUCUCCUCGAAACAGAUAUCACCUCAUCGAGCAGUAACAAAAUCGAGUAUGACACAUUUAUCUAGAAAUAUAUUUUCAACGUCCUCUUUCAGUAAUGAGAAACGGUUCCCAAGAACGCGAGUGCUCUACUAAAUGCACGAAGGCAUGUAUGGAGAAAAUGGUUAUUUCAUUAACACUUGGCAUCAUACUAAAGUUUCAUCAUUUUGUCGUCUCUACGAAUCAGUCGACUUAAUGGCGAUAGAUCAAAUGGGUUAUCGUUUUUAACAGAAACAUAUAGAGAAAUAAGGAAGCUUUAUUGAUGCUAUGAUUAUAUUGAGACGAUUGAUAAAUCAACUAAUCAAAGUUGAAGCUGAAGGUUUAUCACUUAAAAAGUGUUCGUCGAGAAAAAUAAUGAUAAAGAUGGUAUGAAGUUUUUUUUAAAGGAAUGUUAGUGUGAACGCAUUAAAUUUACAGUUUUGGUAAGAAGCGUUCUCUACAUGACACCUAAGCGUUUUACUAAAUAAAAGUUUCUCGUGAAGCCACGUCACCACGUCACAUUCCUUGCCAAUAAACUUUUAUGGUAAGUUUUAAAAGUGCUUCUCCUUUAAUAUAUAGGGGAUAUCAUAAUAAUGAACUGGAAAACCAACUGAUUUAGAUCGAACCAAAAUUUUGUAUCCAAACCAUAUAUGUCACAUAAACAUUAUUAUAUGUAACUUAAACACUAAAUCAAAUAAUAAGUAUAUGCUUAGAAUGUGCAUCAAACUUAUAAUAUCAUAUUAAACCAAAUGACUGACAUCUUUAUAACCUAGAGUUUUGAUUAUGAUAACAACAUGAUUUUAUACGAACCGAGAUUGAAAUUGUGGUAAUUAAUAAUUAUUUAGUUAAGUUAUUCUCGCAUUAGCUAUUUCAACAAGUUUUAAGAACAAUCCUAUGUGGAAUUCAGUCACAUUUGAAUCAUCAAUACAUGUCACCCUUUAAGAUGUCGCAUUUUAGAAUCAAUAAAAUUAUAACAUUUUUAUUUAAGCGUGUUUUUAACUAAUAUUGAUGGGUAUUCGUUCGGUUUGGUUAUUAUAGAUAUAAAAAAACUAUAGAAACUGUAUCCAUUUGAAAAUUUUAAUUUUGGGGUUUUGCCCACUCUUAGUUUAGGGUUUGAUCUGAAGUUCUGUUGUUUCUAGCUAUUCAUUUAUAUGCUGGAUUUUAGACAAAAGUAUCUUAUAUAUGCUAAUUGAAAAUAUUACACAAUACAAUUUUCUCAUUUACUUCGUUCAGAUCUUAUCAACAAGAGUAAUCACAAAAUCUAUCAAAUUGUUGAGGUGGAUAUGAUAAUUUCCACUCAAUAUAAAAUAAUUUUUUAUAUUAAACGAAAUCUUAUACAUAUUACUUCAAAUGGUAUAUUUUCAAAACUACCUAAUUUAUACUGUUUUCUAUAUUUCCUGAAGGAAACACCCUUAUUUUCUUUUGACUUAUCAGAUACAUCUUUGACUUAAAAGUUACACUUACAAUCUGUUGAGAGAGAAAAAAAACUCUACAAUCUAGGCCGGUGUUGAGUGAAUACAAGCAACUGGUGAGCUGGAGGAGCUACAGAAUCGAAUUAUUUGUUCAAGAAGCUAUCCGAGACCUUGGGGAGGCAUGUCAUAGUAAAACACAAUAGUCCUUAUUAACCUAAUAAAAUGAUCUUUGACUAUUGUUCAACAAUAACAACUGAUCCUCUAGUUUUUUCGGUUCUGCAUAAAUAUUCAGAUCAUUGCAAGAAGAAGCUAGCAUUUUUAAGGAAGCGUGAAAAACAAGUUAGUUUCAAACAUAUCAAACCAUCAAUUGUAAAUACUUUCAGGACGUGGGAUGUAUAGUAACAAAGAACAUGCUUAGGAAGCUCACUGAGGCAGCUAUAUACGGGCGACAAAGCAGAGAAAGAAGAGACGGCGAUGAUGUCAAGCCAAGAGUAUACGUUGAUGGAGAGGAGAAUGGCCGAGCUGGAGGAGAAAUGUAGAUCGUUGCAGAAUCAGCAGGCGGCGGUGUCCUCCCCGGAGAAAGAACAGAUACUCACUGCCGCUCUAAGCCGUGUAGACGAGCUUGAGCUUCAGUUGUCUGAGACCAAGAAGACGCUGGACGAAGCCAUGGCUAGGCAGCAAGAGUUAUCGUCUUACAUUGAAAAGAUGAAGAAGAAGAAGAAAAUAUACUUUUGUUUUCAGUGCUUCGGAUUCUGAAAGACACGAGGAUGCAUCAAGACUAUGAAGAAAACUAGAAAAUAUAUAGAAUCCAUAUAUAUAUAUAUAUAUAUAUAACAUAAUGAAGAGAGUUUAAAGAUGAAAAUGUGGAGAAGAUAUGCUUUCUGUAAAUGUUUUGUUGUUACUGUCUUUGGAAAAACCUGAAACCUUAUGUUUAUUACCAUUCACACCUAAUUAGUAACGCACUAAAACAACAAAAUAUAAAUGUUAUAAUCUUACAUAUAUAAAAAUAUUGUUUAUAUAGAGUGUAUAAUAGCUCAACAAUGGUUGUACAACUGAACAGGUUUGGGGUUUGGUUGGUUACUCUGUGGCUGGUUUCUCAGUGGGUUCUUCUUCUUGCUUAUCUUGGAGCUUGAAUACACGGAAAAUUGCUAGAUUUGUAUCUCC